ACCCCGCCCGUCAUUGAAAAGCCCAGUCCCCACGCUCGGCCCUGCCCCAUCCACAUCUGGGUCCCGCCAGAGCCCUUUGAUCCCCCCAUCCCGGGCCCAGCCCCUACCCAGUGCCCAGAACCCACUCUGCCCCGAAGGUAGUCUCUAUGCUGGUUUUUUUCUCCCACAUACCCGAACCUAAGAACCCGUCAUCACUAAGCCUUUAAAUUCAGCCUGAAUCCUAUUUCUAAUUGUAUUCCUCUUUCCUCUUCCACUCCUCUGCACGCAGAUCCUCCCAAAUUCUUCUUCCUUGUCUUCCUGCCUCAGUGGCUUUUCAGAUACCACAUACAAAAGGAUCUGCUGCCUAAAAUAGCCAUUUACCUAUCUCACUAUUAAUUCGACUUAGCCAUGUCAUGAUAAUAAAUAGGCACAGAUGAAAGUGAUGCUCUUAGAAUAUAAAGUCUUAACAAUCCAGACUCUGACCACCUUUAAAUUCCUCAAAUAGUCUUUGGUUGCUAGCUCAGGACUUUAGGAUCUGCUCUUGCUCCACCUGGAACAGGGUGAUGACUAUUGAAGGUACUCCAUAGACGUGAUAUGAAUAUGUGAAUGAAUAAGUGAAGGAAGAAAGAGUGAAAAAAUUGAACUGCCUAGCUUGUGUUCCUGCUUCUGAAUUAGUUGUACUAUGGGAGACAUCAUCUGUUUAAUACUAAUAUCUGAGCCAGGCACAGUGUCUCACGC
rnacentral:lncRNA from 1 species